AGAGUAUAGUUUUUUAUAACACACGGUACUUUUUCCCUACUUCAACAUAGGAUCUUCUCAAUUGAUUCAACACAAAACCCUAUUUCCCUCUCUUUCACAUUUCCACCCAUAAAACCCUAUUUCAACAAAGUACUUGCUCAAUCUAUCUCACGGUUCUUCUUUGUUCUUCUUUCUACUGAUCAUUAUGUUACUGUACAUUUUUCUCUUCUUUGAUUCAGUAAAUCAAUUCUAUCAAUAUACUCAUAAGCUCAUUGUACGUUAGUGUACCUUUCUCUCUUUUUUGUUGUUAGUGUACGAUUCUACAGAUCUUUUUAUUAUAGUUGUUAAAAAAUUAGGGAUGGUAAGUUUCCGAACUUCUUCUACGCCUUCUUUUGGGAAACUAGAGAAACAAUUCGAAGAAUUCCGACAUUGUUUAGAGGAGUUUGGGAGUAUAGGAAGCGGAUAUGCAUUGUUGUGAUGGAGAUAGAUUCAGUCACUCAGACUCAUAUAUGUCAGCCUUCUUCUCGUUCAACUGUCUUUCUAAGCUGAACGAGACAUGGGGAUAUGGGUUCUCUUUUCUCCUUUCUUGUCUCUUAGCUUGUUUUAGUUUGUUGAUUGAUUUUUUAUUGCAGGAGUUUUUCAUUCAAUUUGCAAAAUCACAAGGAAGAGCAUGAGUGUUUGAAAAAUUGAUAUGUUUAUUUCACAAUGAGUUUUGUAGGUUGCAACUCUGGCUCCUAGUGUAUCGGCAAUGCAAGAGCUACAUUUUGAAGCACUGAUGGUUGGAGCCGUUUUUUGUACAUUAAAUAAGCGCCAUGAUUCUGCUAUGGUAUUGAUACUUCUGAUGCAUUCGGAAACAGAGGUCAUAUUUGUGGAUCAGAAAUUGCUUGAAAUUUCUCAAGGAGCAUUAGCUAUCCUGGCUGGAAAGAAACACAAUCUGCCUCGUCUUGCUGAUCUUUCAAACUGAUGAAUUCCGUGUUGUUGAACACUAAAACCCUCGUGAUCACGAUUAUGAAAGUCUCCUCAGAAGUGGGAAUAGAAGUUUUUCUAUAAGAUUGUCGAGAACAUAAUUUGAUACUAUUAUUAUUAACCAUCGCGACACAAAGGAGUUGUUUACAGAAACAAAGGUGCGUAUCUCAAUACCAUCGCCACUUAUUUUCUUCACAAGAUGAGUUUGCUCCCUGUUUAUCUUUUAAGCAUUCCAAUGUUUCACUAGAACGAUUGGUGCAUCAUUUGGGGUCUUGAACUGUUGGGUGGCACGAAUGUCUGUCUUAUAAAUGUCUUUCCAAAAGACAUUUGAAAACAUUUCAUUGCACAACUCCUACAAUUUCUAGAAAUUCAAUUUCAUUAUAUUACAUAUAAAUAAGCUUAUUGUCAAUUUAAGUUGACCAGGUGUUCUGGAAAAAUUACACUUUUGUAAAUUGAGUUUUGAGAUGUUUGUGCUUCCUUUACUUUGAUUUUAGAUUAUCAAUGGACAUGUAUGUGUAAGUUGUUCUGUAGUUUGAGGUAUCAUGGCCAUGAGGAGAAAGCCAAUUUUGAAAUAUUUAUAUGAAAGUUUGUAUAUA